rnacentral:rRNA from 1 species
UUGAACGCUGGCGGCAGGCCUAACACAUGCAAGUCGAGCGGUAGCACAGAGAGCUUGCUCUCGGGUGACGAGCGGCGGACGGGUGAGUAAUGUCUGGGAAACUGCCUGAUGGAGGGGGAUAACUACUGGAAACGGUAGCUAAUACCGCAUAACGUCGCAAGACCAAAGUGGGGGACCUUCGGGCCUCAUGCCAUCAGAUGUGCCCAGAUGGGAUUAGCUAGUAGGUGGGGUAACGGCUCACCUAGGCGACGAUCCCUAGCUGGUCUGAGAGGAUGACCAGCCACACUGGAACUGAGACACGGUCCAGACUCCUACGGGAGGCAGCAGUGGGGAAUAUUGCACAAUGGGCGCAAGCCUGAUGCAGCCAUGCCGUGUGUGUGAAGAAGGCCUUCGGGUUGUAAAGCACUUUCAGCGGGGAGGAAGGCGGUGAGGUUAAUAACCUCAUCGAUUGACGUUACCCGCAGAAGAAGCACCGGCUAACUCCGUGCCAGCAGCCGCGGUAAUACGGAGGGUGCAAGCGUUAAUCGGAAUUACUGGGCGUAAAGCGCACGCAGGCGGUCUGUCAAGUCGGAUGUGAAAUCCCCGGGCUCAACCUGGGAACUGCAUUCGAAACUGGCAGGCUAGAGUCUUGUAGAGGGGGGUAGAAUUCCAGGUGUAGCGGUGAAAUGCGUAGAGAUCUGGAGGAAUACCGGUGGCGAAGGCGGCCCCCUGGACAAAGACUGACGCUCAGGUGCGAAAGCGUGGGGAGCAAACAGGAUUAGAUACCCUGGUAGUCCACGCCGUAAACGAUGUCGAUUUGGAGGUUGUGCCCUUGAGGCGUGGCUUCCGGAGCUAACGCGUUAAAUCGACCGCCUGGGGAGUACGGCCGCAAGGUUAAAACUCAAAUGAAUUGACGGGGGCCCGCACAAGCGGUGGAGCAUGUGGUUUAAUUCGAUGCAACGCGAAGAACCUUACCUGGUCUUGACAUCCACAGAACUUUCCAGAGAUGGAUUGGUGCCUUCGGGAACUGUGAGACAGGUGCUGCAUGGCUGUCGUCAGCUCGUGUUGUGAAAUGUUGGGUUAAGUCCCGCAACGAGCGCAACCCUUAUCCUUUGUUGCCAGCGGUUAGGCCGGGAACUCAAAGGAGACUGCCAGUGAUAAACUGGAGGAAGGUGGGGAUGACGUCAAGUCAUCAUGGCCCUUACGACCAGGGCUACACACGUGCUACAAUGGCAUAUACAAAGAGAAGCGACCUCGCGAGAGCAAGCGGACCUCAUAAAGUAUGUCGUAGUCCGGAUUGGAGUCUGCAACUCGACUCCAUGAAGUCGGAAUCGCUAGUAAUCGUAGAUCAGAAUGCUACGGUGAAUACGUUCCCGGGCCUUGUACACACCGCCCGUCACACCAUGGGAGUGGGUUGCAAAAGAAGUAGGUAGCUUAACCUUCGGGAGGGCGCUUACCACUUUGUGAUUCAUGACUGGGGUG